rnacentral:tmRNA from 1 species
CUUGGUUUCGACGGGGGUCAGGAUGGUUUGGGAAGCGAGCCGUGGUUUGUGUCUCCGGUGCCACGCUAAAAAGCUGGGGAUAUUAAAUAUAAACGCUAACGAAAAUAAUAAUUUAGCUUUAGCAGCUUAGGUCUGCUAACGUCAACCCGGUAGUACCGCGGACCGGGACCUGGCGUCGAUAGCGGUGAAACGAGCCCUGCAAAGCUUUGAACAGGGAACGGGAUUUAUGAAGCUACUGAAAUCAGGAGCCUGUCUUUCGGCGCUUGACAGAGGGAAUUUCAAAGGAAAGACUGUGCUCGAAGAAACCCGGAUCGGCCGGCUUUCGGACAGGGGUUCGAUUCA